AAGGGGUUAGUUUAAUAAAAAUUACUAAUUUCGACUUAGUAGACUCUGAUACCACCAGAACCCCUAA
rnacentral:tRNA from 1 species